UCUUCUGUGGCUUAGAUGGUUAAUGCGCCACACUAGUGGUAGGGAUUUGUGGGUUCAAAUCCCACCAAAACAA
rnacentral:tRNA from 1 species